CAGCCGCCGCGGUAAUACAGAGGGUGCGAGCGUUAAUCGGAUUUACUGGGCGUAAAGCGUGCGUAGGCGGCUAAUUGAGUCGGAUGUGAAAUCCCCGAGCUUAACUUGGGAAUUGCAUUCGAUACUGGUUAGCUAGAGUGUGGGAGAGGAUGGUAGAAUUCCAGGUGUAGCGGUGAAAUGCGUAGAGAUCUGGAGGAAUACCGGUGGCGAAGGCGGCCCCCUGGACAAAGACUGACGCUCAGGUGCGAAAGCGUGGGGAGCAAACAGGAUUAGAUACCCCUGUAGUCCCUGUCUCUUAUAC
rnacentral:rRNA from 1 species